UUGAGGUUGUUCAUUUGAAUUGUGGUCAUGCAUGGAGAUAUAUACAUUCCUGGUGCAUUGCCAAAGAUUAGGAUCUUUUUUUUUUUUUUUUUUUUUUUGGGUAUACCCAUGGUGUCCACGGUCGGACAGUGACUAAUUUCCUCGCUGAAUUGUAGGCACCUCUUUUGAGUGGGACAAUGAAGAUUUAAGGUUGAUCCAUUUCCAAAACCAAAUAUUAAGGUCUUGUGUGACCAUCAGUGAUUAACGGCAAACGUUGAGGAGCCAAAAGGCUCUUCCAUUAAAGGAGCCUCAGUAAAUUAUUAUUAUUAUUAUUUUUUAAUUAUAGAGCAUUUUGGAGAAAGAUAACGCAACAAACUGUUGACUUAAAAUCUCAAAUUUUGACAUUUCAAAAAUGGAUUAUUUGUCAAAAUUUUGGUGGAUCCACUAUUUAUCAAACAAGCCCUAAAGUGAGGUUGCAAAACCUUGAAGAUGGAAUGAAUGGGGAGUGGCUGUUGGAGUUUUAGCAAUGUGAAGUUGUCAAACAUGUUCUCUGACAUUAUUUGAGAAGGAUUUUGGUAUCUCAAAAAAAUCUUUUUUAUUUCUUUCCAGGUUGUUUGUAUCAAGUUCCUAGACGUGUCUCUAGCUGGUUAGCUUGGGUUCUGUAAUUACCUAAAUAUCCACCACUUCUGUAUUUUUAGAAUUCUAUUAUACCAUGAUUACUGAAAAUUAUGCUUCUUAAUCAA